rnacentral:lncRNA from 1 species
GGACGGGGUGGGCGGGGCAGCGGAAUGGGGCGGGGCGAGUUGCGCGGCUGCUGCUUGGGACCCGCCCGCUCCACGAAGGCAAUUGGGAAAUCUGAGAAAUGUAUUGAGCGUCUGCUACGUGCCUCUGACUGUGUGUCUCCAAGUUUGCAUGUAGUUGGAAUGACCAGCAGGACAGUACCAGCCAAGAGCUUUAAGCUUUACAGCCUGAGACCACCAGAGACAAUCCUUAGACAAGGCUGGUUGACUACAGCAGAUGCUGUGCUGUGUUGCUCAGAUCCAUAUUCAGGACGGAAGAACUUAUUUCCCUCAACUGCUGCAAGUGCUGUAGACUGCAUCCAGCUAUUUGUUGUGGGAGAAUAAAAUACUGGCCCCCUCACCCCAACUUGGGACAACUCUUGGCCAUCACAGCUCUAGAGCUCCCCAUGGGAUCAGCUGAAGCCUCACUGAGACUGCCUUGAAGCCCAGCUCCUCCCUCUGCCCAGUCUGGCUCCCUUCCCUUCCCCUUCAGUGUGCCUGGACUCUUCAUCGGGUCAAAACUUUUUGAGGUGUUUCUGAUCCUGUUUCAUCCUAAACAUUUGUCACUUGAUGAGGGAAGUUGCUGAGAGAAGCAACUGGAAGCAAGUAGAGAGAAACAGGAAAAGAAAGAAGUUACACUCUGCCUCAUGAGCCAACUGGAGAACUGAGCUCAGCAUCUUGCCUUAUUGGUGCACAUUCUAUUCACAUAAUGAAGUUCUUUCAUUUUCUGCUUGGAGAGACCUGCUGACCUCACACCUGAAUGAGGCGAUGUCGUCCUCCCUUCCAGUCUCUCAGAACCCAGCCACCAUCUUGUGAGGAAGCUUCCCACGUGGAGAGGGCCUAAGGACUUCUGACAGCAGCCAAAACCAACUUACCAGCUCUGUGAGCGAACCACCUUGGAAGUCUGUCCUCCAGACCAAGUGAAGCCUUCAGAUGACUGUAGUCACACCUAACAUCUGACUAUGACCUCACGAGGGACCCCUAACCAGAACCACUCGGCUAAACUACUGCCGGAUUCACAACCCACAGAAACCAUGAAAGACAUAAAUGGUCAUUGCCAUCUUAACCCGCUAAGUUUUGCAGUGAUUUUUUUUAUGCAGCUUUAGAGAACAAAGGAGAGGAGUGCAACAGAAAGGGGCCAUCCCAGAACCCUCAAAGGUGUGGGGCCUAGGACAGGGCCUCUUUUGCCUGGAUUUAGGGCCGUACUGAGGAAAGGAUAUGGAUUUUAUUUCAGUAGCUGGGUAUUUCCUAGGGAGGGAUGAGCUUAUUUAUACAAAAGAGGAACUUGCAGGACUGAGCAGGUGUUGGAGAUCAGGAAAUGUUUUUAUAAAAGCUGUAACAAAGCAGCCCUUUAUCUGGAGUAUACAAAGAAAUGAAAAUCUAAUGAGACCAUUUAUUUGCUUGAUUGUAUAAACACACAAAAAUGUACACAUCUUGGAAUAGUCACAGCGGAAGGAGAUCUGCUUAAGCCAGUGAUGCCGUCUGUCACUUUUCAAAAAUGCCUGUGAAACUUCUCUUUCGGAAUUGCCCACAAAGCUGGAUUACGAGCUUCCCAUGAAACCAGACUCAUCACUCAAGCUGCGACUUGGUUUGUGACCCCAGACAGCAUUUCCCAGCUUGAUCACCCAACCUACUCAGCAGACUUCGUUCUGAAUGACUUAGAACUGUUUCCAAAACUCACACCCGCCCUUGGAGGAUACAUGCUGUCAGACUUAUCUUUCUGCCACACCUCGGAUCAUGCGCUUCAGUGCCUCUCGGUUGCAUAGAGAAUUAAGCUCCAACAUGUCAGCUAGAUUUUCAGAACUUUAUACAACAUGCAGCCCCCACCUAGCUUUGCAGUUCUAUCAUCCCAGAACACACGAUGCCCUCUCUACUUACUGAUGAUAGGUACCAUUUACUGAGCCCUUAUUAUGUGCCCCACACUGUGCUAAGAGCUUAAUAUAAUCUCUCAUUUUGUCCUUAUAUGACUUUGUAAGAUAAAUGUUAUCUCUAUAGUAUAAAUAAUAAUAAAACAGGGGUCACUAACACUUUGUACAGCAGUUACAAUGUGCUAAGCCACCGUCCAAUAGAAAUAUGAGCCAUAUUUGUCAUUUUAAUUUUCUAAUUGCCACACUAAAAAAGUAAAAACUAGGUGAAAUUGAUUUUAAUAAAGUAUUUUAUCAAUGAGCAUUUAAUCAAUAUAAAAACUUUUUAAUGAUAUAUAUCAUAUUCUUUUUUAGUGUGUAUUAAAUCUUUGAAAUCCAUUGUGUAUUUUACACCUACAGCACGUCUCAAUUUGGACACUAAAUUUUUAUUGGAAAUACUUGAUCUAUAUUUAAAUAUUGUAAAAAGUACAGUGAAAAAAGUAGAUUCACAUACCCAAGUUGUUCCAAACAUGCUUAAAAGAUUUCCAAUACCUGAAUCAAGUACCAAAUAAUCAUUUUUUUCUAUGCUCAUCCCUAUUGACAAAACUGAUUUAAUUUUAAACUUUUAACUUCACUUUCAAUCAAUUAAAAUUAAAUAAAAUUAAAAAUUUAGUUUCUCAGUUGCACUAGCCACUUACCAAGUGCUCAUGUGGUUAGUGGCUGCCAUGUUGGGCAAUGCAACUCUAGGCACUUUACUACUGUCAACACAAACGUUUGAGGUAGCUUCAUUUUACAGAUAAAGAAAUAGAGGCAUAGAGAAGUAGUAACUUGCACUAGUAUACACAGUUAAUAAGCUGAUGUUCAGAAUGGUUGAUUUACCUUAGCUAGUAAAGGUUGGAAACAGGAUUUGAACUCAGGAUUGUUUGUGUCCAAAGUCUAAAUUCUUAUCCACUGUGCUAGUCUGCUCUACAGACUUAAUUUCUCACUAUUCUCCUAAAAUCCUUACUUUCUUGAUUCUGGUCUUUUUAUCAGACUGUUUCCUCUGUCUAGAAUGCCAUGGAAGGCCCAUUUUGAAUGUUAUUCAUUCAUUCAGACAGUCAUUCAGUCAAUCACUUUUUCAACAAAUAUUGCCAGCCAUGUUUCAAAUAUCUCCCACGUGAAAUACAGCCGUGAUCAAGACAGACGUCCCCCCUGCCCGCACAGAGCUUCAAUUCUGCCGUAACGCUUCUCACACUUCGGUCUCAGGAUUCUGUAACACUCUGAACGUUAUUGAGGACCCGAAGGGCUUUUGAUUAUGUGAGUUAUAGCUGCCAAUCUUUAUUGUACUAGAAAUUAAAACUAGGAAAUUGUAAAAAUAUUUAUUCAUUCAUUCAAAAAUAACAUGAUGAACAUAUUACAUGUAAACAUAAAUAAUGUAUAACUGAAAAGACAACUAUAUUUUCCAAAACAAAAAAUAAGAGUAGCAUUGUUUUAUAAUUUUGCUAAUCUCUUUAAUGUGUGACCUAAUAAAAGGCAGCUGGGUUCUCAUCUCUGCUUUUGUCUUUAAUCUGUUGCAAUUUGUCAUUUUGGUUGAAGUAUGUAAGAAAAUCUUGCCUCACUAAGAUAUAUAAUUGGAAAACAGAGGAGUAUCUUAAAUGCUUUUUCAGAUAAUUGCGGAAAUUCUUCUUUGUUACUAUACCAAAAAUCAACAAGUGCUAAUUUCUUUAAAGUUAGCUACAAUGUGGAAUCUGAAACCAUAUCAAUGGUAAAUAUAUGUUUCAUUGAUCCUUUCUAUUGUCUUUUUUGUUUCAAUAUCGUUUAUUUCUGCUCUUAUUUUUAUUAUUUCCCUCCUUCUACUGACUCUGGGCCUUGUUUGUUCUUCUUUUUCUAGUUCUGUUAGGUGUCGUUUGAGGUUGCUUACGUGAGCUUUUUCUUGUUUAGUGAGGUGAGCCUGUAUUGCGAUGAAUUUCCCUCUUAGGACUGCUUUUGCUGCAUCCCAGAUGAUUUGGUAUGUCGUGUUCUCAUUUUCAUUUGUCUCCAGAUAAUAUUUGAUUUCUUCUUUAAUUUCUUCAAUGAUCCAUUGUUUGUUGAGAAGCGUGUUGUUU